UCGGCCAUUUUGAAUUUUGUGGUAUUGAACUCGACCGUGCGAAAUACUCUCUCUAGCUUUCGACAUGUGGUAUGAAUGCUUACCUCCGUUUGUUAUUAUUGGAGCUUGUAUAGCUGUAACUGGCUGGGGACUGAAGAUCUGUGAUCGACUCUUCCAAGAGGGCAAGCCCAGUAGAUAUAGCUUGGACAAGUUUGAUGAAAGACUGCUCGCACGAGAUGAAAGGAUCACUGGCUCAAGAUUCAGACAAAAGUCUUUGUAGAAGAUUAUUAUGAGACAUGCCGUAUUGAUGGGUACCUUUGAAUCUGUUACUGGGAAUAUUUCAAUGGUUUCACAUAUAAGUUUGUUCUGAAUCUCUUUCUCAAGUAUCAUGUAAUUCUGAGUGUUAAAAAAAAUGCUUGUAAAUAAAAGAAAUUUGUUUUGA